UACGAAGGGGGCUAGCGUUGCUCGGAAUCACUGGGCGUAAAGCGCACGUAGGCGGAUUCUUAAGUCAGGGGUGAAAUCCUGGAGCUCAACUCCAGAACUGCCUUUGAUACUGGGAGUCUCGAGUCCGGAAGAGGUGAGUGGAACUGCGAGUGUAGAGGUGAAAUUCGUAGAUAUUCGCAAGAACACCAGUGGCGAAGGCGGCUCACUGGUCCGGUACUGACGCUGAGGUGCGAAAGCGUGGGGAGCAAACAGG
rnacentral:rRNA from 1 species